CACCAAGUCCUGCCCACACCCUCCUCUCUACAGUUAUUGUCCAGUCUGGCCUCCAGGGUCGCCCUGCCCCAAGUUCAUCUUCACAAGAGCGGACCUCGCUGCAGCGUGAAGCCAGUCCAGUCGUUCCAUGCUCAGAUGCCUUCCGGCCUGUCCUUCAUGUGACAGCCCUGGGUCUCUCACCGGGCCCUAGCUCACAACCCAGGCCUCAGAGUGGGUGACCGGGCUCUGAGGGAGACAUCCAGGCAUUCCUCCUGGUUGAGCUACCGGCCUCCCCACUGGGGGCCUGCUAUGGAGCAUCUGAGGACACAGUUCAAGAAGAGGUAACACAUGCACGUGAUGAGAAAAAUCAUGCAGCUGCAUAAAAAGGUCUGGAUGAAGCCUGGUCAACCCAGCAGGUGGACACGAUAAAUGCCAAGUCUACUCAGCUGAAACCCAAGUGUCCAACAGCCCUGAUCAUACACCCUCUGUGACUGCUCCCCCUACCAUUGUCCCAUACUAGGUGGACAGAGACAAUGUCUGGUACCACUAUGGUCACAGGGUCUAGCCUGGCUCAGAGAAGGUACAGAAAAAAUACUUGUUGAAUGAAUGAAUGAAUGAAUAAAUAAAUGAAUGAAUGAAAAACACGAGGUAUGAAGGCAGGUAUGAAGUAUUUCAACCAGAAAGGCCGUUGUGAUACUGAAGGCUUGAUGAGGGUUUUCAAUCCAUGUUUGGGCAAGAAGCUAAGGCUCUCUGACACCACACUUCUUUUGAAACUGACUCAGGCAGUGGACCAUAGGAAUGUGACCCCUAGAGAAUGUGUGUGACUGGGAAACCUGGUGCAGCCAGCAAAGGGGGGCACUGGACCCAAGACCCGAGACCCAAGACUCUGGGAAGUCAAGGAAUUUGUUCAAGGCCAAAUGGCCACUUCAGUGAAGGAGGCAAAAUUCAAACCCUGAUCCGUGAGUGUCCAGGGCCUUUCCCUGUUCCUGCAGUUAUUAAUAGCACUUAUCAAGAUGUCAUGAAAUGGUGUGGCUUCGUGUCUGCUGCCCUGGUAGGCCAUGUGCUCCUUAAGGACA